CGCCGCCCCGGGGCUCGUGAUAUCUCAUCUCGCCGCCCGUCGCGAGGCGGACGGAGGGAUGGAUGAGGUUACCUGGAAAAAAUCGGGGCGAUCUAGGCGGGCGAACCUCGCCAACGAACGAUCGGACAUGGGAUUAACGGAAGAGGGCGUCGGCUCGACUUCGUCGGUUCCUCGGGGCCGAGGCACGUACGGUGAAUAGGGACGGUCGGGGCCGCCCGUACCGGGUCGUGAGAGGUGAAAUUCUAGGAUCGACCCGAGACGAACCGCCGCGAAAGCAUUCGGCAAGGACGCUUUCAUUAAUCAAGAACGAAAGUCGGGGGAUCGAAGACGAUCAGAUACCGUCGUAGUCCCGACCGUAAACGAUGCCGAACCGAGGGGCCCGGAGGAGUUACGUACGACCCUCCGGGCCCUCCC
rnacentral:rRNA from 1 species